rnacentral:tRNA from 1 species
UCUAAGUGUGGCUGAGUGGUAGAGGAUCUGUUUUGCACGCAGAAGGUCCCUGGUUCAAUCCCCAGGCAUUAAAA